ACGAACGCUGGCGGCGUGGAUAAGACAUGCAAGUCGAACGGGAGAAUUGCUAGCUUGCUAAUAAUUCUCUAGUGGCGCACGGGUGAGUAACACGUGAGUAACCUGCCUCUUAGUGGGGGAUAGCCCUGGGAAACCGGGAUUAAUACCGCAUACGAUUGAAAGAUCAAAGCAGCAAUGCGCUGGGAGAUGGGCUCGCGGCCUAUUAGUUAGUUGGUGAGGUAACGGCUCACCAAGGCGAUGACGGGUAGCCGGUCUGAGAGGAUGUCCGGCCACACUGGAACUGAGACACGGUCCAGACACCUACGGGUGGCAGCAGUCGAGAAUCAUUCACAAUGGGGGCAACCCUGAUGGUGCGACGCCGCGUGGGGGAAUGAAGGUCUUCGGAUUGUAAACCCCUGUCAUGUGGGAGCAAAUUAAAAAGAUAGUACCACAAGAGGAAGAGACGGCUAACUCUGUGCCAGCAGCCGCGGUAAUACAGAGGUCUCAAGCGUUGUUCGGAAUCACUGGGCGUAAAGCGUGCGUAGGCUGUUUCGUAAGUCGUGUGUGAAAGGCAGGGGCUCAACCCCUGGAUUGCACAUGAUACUGCGAGACUAGAGUAAUGGAGGGGGAACCGGAAUUCUCGGUGUAGCAGUGAAAUGCGUAGAUAUCGAGAGGAACACUCGUGGCGAAGGCGGGUUCCUGGACAUUAACUGACGCUGAGGCACGAAGGCCAGGGGAGCGAAAGGGAUUAGAUACCCCUGUAGUCCUGGCAGUAAACGGUGCACGCUUGGUGUGCGGGGAAUCGACCCCCUGCGUGCCGGAGCUAACGCGUUAAGCGUGCCGCCUGGGGAGUACGGUCGCAAGAUUAAAACUCAAAGAAAUUGACGGGGACCCGCACAAGCGGUGGAGUAUGUGGCUUAAUUCGAUGCAACGCGAAGAACCUUACCUGGGCUUGACAUGUAAUGAACAACAUGUGAAAGCAUGCGACUCUUCGGAGGCGUUACACAGGUGCUGCAUGGCCGUCGUCAGCUCGUGUCGUGAGAUGUUUGGUUAAGUCCAGCAACGAGCGCAACCCCUGUUGCCAGUUACCAGCACGUCAAGGUGGGGACUCUGGCGAGACUGCCCAGAUCAACUGGGAGGAAGGUGGGGACGACGUCAGGUCAGUAUGGCCCUUAUGCCCAGGGCUGCACACGUACUACAAUGCCCAGUACAGAGGGGGCCGAAGCCGCGAGGCGGAGGAAAUCCUGAAAACUGGGCCCAGUUCGGACUGUAGGCUGCAACCCGCCUACACGAAGCCGGAAUCGCUAGUAAUGGCGCAUCAGCUACGGCGCCGUGAAUACGUUCCCGGGUCUUGUACACACCGCCCGUCACAUCAUGGAAGCCGGUCGCACCCGAAGUAUCUGAAGCCAACCGCAAGGAGGCAGGGUCCUAAGGUGAGACUGGUAACUGGGAUG
rnacentral:rRNA from 1 species